GACAGAGGGUGCAAACGUUGUUCGGAAUUACUGGGCGUAAAGCGCGUGUAGGCGGCUCUGCAAGUCGGAUGUGAAAUCCCACGGCUCAACCAUGGAAGUGCAUUCGAAACUGCAGGGCUAGAGUCCUGGAGAGGAAGGUGGAAUGCUUGGUGUAGAGGUGAAGUUCGUAGAUAUCAAGCGGAACACCGGUGGCGAAGGCGGCCUUCUGGACAGUGACUGACGCUGAGACGCGAAAGCGUGGGGAGCAAACAGG
rnacentral:rRNA from 1 species